rnacentral:lncRNA from 1 species
AGCAGAAAAUAAAGAGGACAGUGCCUGUCUUGCAAGAUGCAUGUUUUGGCUGAAGUAAAUGAAUGAAUAAAUAAAUGUAUAGCAUGUCAGUGUGCCUGCGGCACUCAGCAAACACCGGGAAGGCAGAGCACACCCAGCCCCAGCCCUGCCCUUGGGAGGCUCAGCCCAGCACUGACAGCCAUGCAUGUGAGGGCCCUGGGAGGACAAAAGAGGCUCCUGGGGUCAGGGAAUACCUGGAGGAGGAGAAGAGACCAUAAGCCGUCAUCUGCCACAUAACUUUGUGGAGUGGGUUGAAUUGUGCCUUCCCAAAAGAAAUAGUACCUGAGAGUGUGGCCUUAGUUGAAAAUAGUGUUUUUGCAGAUGUGAUCAAAUUAAGGUGAGGCCAUACUGGAUUAGGCUGGGUCCUAAUCCAAUAAAGAUCUGGUGUCCAGAUAAGAAGAGAAGAGACACAGAAACAGACACACAGAGGAAAGAGGCCAAGAGAAAAUGGAGGCAGAAAUCAGAGUGAUGCGUCUGCAAGUCAAAGAUUGCCAGGAGCCACCAGAAGCUGGGUGUGGCAAGGAGCAGACUGUCCCCUAGAGCCUCAGGAGGAAGCAUGGCCCCACUGCCACCUUGAUUUCCGACUUCUGGCUCCCAGACCUAGGAGAGAAUAAAUGUCUGCCGUUUUAAGUCAGCAGGUUUGAGGUACUUUGUUACAGCAGCCCCAGGAAAAUAACAUGCUGUGCCUUGCCUGUUUCCUCAAGGCCCAACCUGCAGCCCCGGGAAUACCCCAGGUGAUCUGGCCCUUACCUGCAGCAGCUAGCUCCAAACCAGCUGGGAACACCUUGCCUGCUGCUGUCACUCUGUCCCUAGGCCUGUGGCUGGCUGGGGCCCCUCCUGCCCACUCAGACAAUGCUCUCCUGCCCCAGAGCUUCCCCCCACCAGGUGGGCUCAGAUCCCUGGCAGCCUGACUCAGGGUCGCUGCUGGUGCCAUCCUCAUGUCCUUGGAGGGCGGCUCUCAGCUGCAUGAGCACCCACCGCUGCCUCUGGGAAACUCCCAGCCCAAGAGGCUGGGUGGAUAUGAAAGGAAAGGCAGGGAAUGGGAAUUACAUCGGGGCCUCACUCCUUGGUUGUGUGACCCUGGACAGGACACUGCAUCUCUGAGCCUUCUGCCUCCUCUAUGAAGCAGACAGGAGGACACCUACCUGGCCAUGUCGCUUGAGGAUUAAGAGGAAGAACAAACAGGAAAUGUACAACAGCGAGAAUAGGAGGAUAAAGCAGUAAGAAGGUCAACUAAGACCACCGAUGAAGCCGUUAAUACAUUACUACAAUCCUGAGAAAAUUCAGAUCAUUUAAGGUUCCAGUGCUGGGGCCCUCCUGUGUGCUGCUAUGGGGACUGAGGCUGCAAAGACCAUCAUGUCUGGACCCUGACCUCAAGGAGCUCACAGUCUAAAGAGGGAGAACUGAAGAUGCAAGCACAGAAUUGCCACCAGGGUACUGUUGUCACCUUUGGUGCUACAGGUAAAGUGGGAGAAGAGAUGACUGCUUCCAGAGGAGAGGGACUGGACUUCACAAGCACAUAUGAGUCCCAUGGCACAGCAUGUUGAAGAUUUUGUCUAGCGCAGGGCCUGGCUGUCAGCAGGAACUCAUUGGAUGUUGGACAGAUGGAUGGACAAGAGUGAGUGGACAAUAAGGGAUACAAGGUGGCUGGUUGGCUGCCUGACCAGUGGCCAGAGGGGUAGAUAGAUGAACACAUGGUGUGGUGAAUGAGAAGAUAAUGGAACGUGGCUAGACAAGUGGGUGGGUGAGUGCUGGGGUCUGAAUGGCUGUGUUCCCCACCACCACCAAAUUUAUGUGGAAAUCCUAAUCCUCAAUGUGAGGGUGUCAGGUGGUGGAGUCUUUGGGAGGUAAUUAGGUCCUGAGGGUGGAGGCUUCAUGAAUGGUAUUAGUACCCUUACUAAUUAGUACCCCAGAAGGCUCCCUCUCCCUCCUGCCCUGUGAGGACCUAGUGAGAAGGCACCAUCUGUGAACCAGGAAGCAGGCCCUCCCCCAACACCAAAUCUGCUGGUGCCUUGAUCUUGGACCUCCAGCCUCCAAAAGUGUGAAAAAUAAGUUUCUGUUAUUUAUAAGCCACCAUCUAUGGUAUUUUUUAUAAAAGCCCAAACAGAUUUCAACAAUGGGAAAACAAGUGGUUUAGUAAGUGGGCUCAUAAGUGGCUGCGUGGACAAACAGGUGUUAGGAUGAAUGGCAAAAUGAUGGUGGGUAGGUGGGCGAGUGGUUGGAUAGGUAGAUGGAUGGAUGAUGGGCAAGUGUGUGCAUCUGAGGAUGGACAGGUGAGUGGACACGGUUGGUGGAUGGGUAAUGAGGUGGGCGUGCACUGAAUGAGUAUGUGAG